CACUUCUUGCCUUUGGUGGUAUUGUAGCCAAUGAGGUUUAUCCGAGGUGUGAUUAUUGCUAAUUGAAAACUUCCCAACACUCUGCCAUGACGACUUGCAAUAUAGUAGGCAUUGGCAAAAAAAAAAAAAA
rnacentral:snRNA from 1 species